rnacentral:lncRNA from 1 species
CAAAACCCAGGAUCUCACCAAAACUCAGGAUCUUAGAGGGACUGUCGGGAGGGAGGGAAGGGCGAUUUAGAGUGAGGGAGGGAAGGAAGGGCCUGUCGGGAGAGAGGGAUUAGGGGCUGACGGGAGGGAGGGAUUAGGGGCUGACGAGAGGGAGUGAGUGAGGGAAGAGGCUGACGAGAGGGAGUGAGUGAGGGAAGAGGCUGACGGUAGGGAGUGUGUGAAGGAGGGAAGGCGAUUUAGAGUGAGGGAGAGAAGGAAGGGGCUAUCGGUAGGGAGGGAGGGAUU